ACAAUGUGCACACAUCUGGUGCCCGCAGUCCUGGACCUGAAUUGUGCAUACUUGAUCGAAGCAUAUACAACAAAUUUCUGUUUCAUUGACCUCAGAGAUAUUGUCAUCCAUCUCAUUAUCGGAAUUGGUUGGCGAUGGUGGCGAAUAAGUUGUUCCUUUCAGGAUGUUCUUUUCCCUCUCCUUGUUAGCCUCCAUCAAUGCACAUUCUAGCAAAUGUUUUGCCUCUUUAUUCAGCUCACUGAUAAACUUCAAUGGCGAUGGCCAGACAAGAGGCUCUGCAGAUGAAGGAUUCAGCAACGCUGCACAUGCACCAUGUUUGUAUCUUAAAGCAAUUGUGUAUGGUAUUCUCCCCAAAUCAUCUCUUUGUAAUCGCUCUGCUCCCCAUGCUAACAAUUCACGGAUACAAUCAAGAGAACCAGCUCUUGCAGCCAAAUGAAGUGGUGUACUACCUGGGAAACCAUAUCCAUCGGUAGAAGCACAAGCAAGAGCACCAUUGUCUAGUAAAAUAUGAACACAAUCAGCCCGUCUUUGACGAGCUGCUAAGUGCAAAGGUGUUGCUCCUUUACCAUCAUUAACGUUCACAAACCGGGCAUAUCCCCAAGAAGACGCAAUGUGUGAUGUCCGAGCAGCAAAAAGAAUUGUUUUGAGACAAUCAGAGUACCCAUAAUAGGCCGCAUAGUGCAAGCAUGUCCUCCCAUUCAAUGAAUCAAACAUCAAAAUCUGAUUAUAUGUUUCAUAAUUAGACCAAUAAAUUUUGCAGAUAAUAAAAAUUGGCAGUUCAUAGAUUCUCUUUUAAGUGUUAAGUUACAUACAUUGGCCCCGGCUUCAAUAAGCUUUUGCACACAAGAGAUCUUCCCGUGCAUUGCUGCUAGCAUCAAUGGAGUCUGCUUAUACCGAUUCAAUAAAUCAGGCUUAACAGACAUGUCUAAAAGCAUAGAAACAACCUCAAUUUGGCCAUUGGCAGCAGCAAUAUGUAAAGCAGACUGUCGAUCAUAAACUGUAGAAUGAUGAACAAGACUUGGGUUUCUCUCAAACAGAGCCUUUACAGUCUCCAAAUCACCACACUGAACAGCAGUAAACAAUCCGUGUUCAUCACUUGUUCCACAACUGAACCCCUGACCCAUAUUAAAAAUCUGAACUUUAUUCUGCUGCUGCGGCGGCGAUGAGUAAGCCCCUUUUUCACCACCGUGGACGGCGGUGGUGACGGUUUCUGGUGGUGGUGGGAGAAUUGGGAAUUGAGAGAGUCAUAUUUAUGGAGUUUAAAGUAGAGAUGGG
rnacentral:misc_RNA from 1 species